GCCUAACACAUGCAGUCGAACGGAGUUCUUCGGAACUUAGUGGCGGACGGGUGAGUAACACGUGAGAACCUACCUUCAGAAUGGGGACAACAGUUGGAAACGACUGCUAAUACCCAAUGUGCCGAAAGGUGAAAGAUUUAUCGUCUGAAGAUGGGCUCGCGUCUGAUUAGCUAGAUGGUGGGGUAAGAGCCUACCAUGGCAACGAUCAGUAGCUGGUCUGAGAGGAUGAGCAGCCACACUGGGACUGAGACACGGCCCAGACUCCUACGGGAGGCAGCAGUGGGGAAUUUUCCGCAAUGGGCGAAAGCCUGACGGAGCAAUACCGCGUGAGGGAGGAAGGUCCUUGGAUUGUAAACCUCUUUUAUCAGGGAAGAAGUUCUGACGGUACCUGAUGAAUAAGCAUCGGCUAACUCCGUGCCAGCAGCCGCGGUAAUACGGAGGAUGCAAGCGUUAUCCGGAAUUAUUGGGCGUAAAGCGUCCGUAGGUGGUUAUGCAAGUCUGCCGUUAAAGAAUGGAGCUUAACUCCAUAGGAGCGGUGGAAACUGCAAAACUAGAGUACAGUAGGGGUAGCAGGAAUUCCCAGUGUAGCGGUGAAAUGCGUAGAUAUUGGGAAGAACAUCGGUGGCGAAAGCGUGCUACUGGGCUGAAACUGACACUGAGGGACGAAAGCUAGGGUAGCGAAAGGGAUUAGAUACCCCUGUAGUCCUAGCCGUAAACGAUGGAUACUAGGCGUGGCUUGUAUCGACCCGAGCCGUGCCGAAGCUAACGCGUUAAGUAUCCCGCCUGGGGAGUACGCACGCAAGUGUGAAACUCAAAGGAAUUGACGGGGGCCCGCACAAGCGGUGGAGUAUGUGGUUUAAUUCGAUGCAACGCGAAGAACCUUACCAAGGCUUGACAUCCCUGGAAUCCUGCGGAAACGUGGGAGUGCCUUAGGGAGCCAGGAGACAGGUGGUGCAUGGCUGUCGUCAGCUCGUGUCGUGAGAUGUUGGGUUAAGUCCCGCAACGAGCGCAACCCUCGUUUUUAGUUGCCAUCAUUAAGUUGGGCACUCUAGAGAGACUGCCGGUGACAAACCGGAGGAAGGUGGGGAUGACGUCAAGUCAUCAUGCCCCUUACGCCUUGGGCUACACACGUACUACAAUGGUCGGGACAACGGGCAGCGAGCUCGCGAGAGUAAGCGAAUCCCAUCAAACCCGGCCUCAGUUCAGAUUGCAGGCUGCAACUCGCCUGCAUGAAGGAGGAAUCGCUAGUAAUCGCAGGUCAGAAUACUGCGGUGAAUUCGUUCCCGGGCCUUGUACACACCGCCCGUCACACCAUGGGAGCUGGUCACGCCCGAAGUCGUUACUCUAACCUUAGGGAGGAGGGCGCCGAAGGCAGGGCUAGUGACUGGGGUGAAGUCGUAACAAGGUAGCCGACC
rnacentral:rRNA from 1 species